GGGACGAUGCAACGCGAGGCAAUAUAAGGCUGAAUCUUGCGCAAUAAAAGCGGUAGAGUGAUGGUGACAGAGCGACUAAGUGGUGGCCACGGAGCGACGACGCUAUUUCAGGGUGGUUGGAGAACAAUGAAAGCAAAGAGAUUUGAGCGACCGAGAAGAAGAGGAACAGUGAGAAGGGUACCGUGAAAGCAAAGAGAUUUUUGAGGUCAUAAAAUACUAUACUACCUCUGUUCUAGAUUUACCUGAAGUAAUAGAGGCAUUCUGCCUCGGUUUCAAGCAUACCCGAUGCCUAAAGUUUCAAAAAAUUUGGAAGCAUAUUCCCGUUAUAUGCCUCG
rnacentral:lncRNA from 1 species